rnacentral:rRNA from 1 species
AGUGAACGCUGGCGGUAGGCCUAACACAUGCCAGUCGAACGGCAGCACAGUAAGAGCUUGCUCUUACGGGUGGCGAGUGGCGGACGGGUGAGGAAUACAUCGGAAUCUACUUUUUCGCGGGGGAUAACGUAGGGAAACUUACGCUAAUACCGCAUACGACCUACGGGUGAAAGCAGGGGAUCUUCGGACCUUGCGCGAUUGAAUGAGCCGAUGUCGGAUUAGCUAGUUGGCGGGGUAAAGGCCCACCAAGGCGACGAUCCGUAGCUGGUCUGAGAGGAUGAUCAGCCACACUGGAACUGAGACACGGCCCAGACUCCUACGGGAGGCAGCAGUGGGGAAUAUUGGACAAUGGGCGCAAGCCUGAUCCAGCCAUACCGCGUGGGUGAAGAAGGCCUUCGGGUUGUAAAGCCCUUUUGUUGGGAAAGAAAAGCAGCAGGUUAAUACCCCGCUGUUCUGACGGUACCCAAAGAAUAAGCACCGGCUAACUUCGUG